ensembl:lncRNA
GAAGGGUUUGAGCAGCGCUGUGCAGGAAUGAACGGCUGGUAAGAGAAGAGGUGUGUGUGCUGAGAGCAAGGGCUGUACGGCUCCUCUCUGUGUUCUCACAGCAAGUGCACGGCAGAGCUCCUUGCUCUCUGUUCUUUCUUGCAAGGCUGCGGCGCUUCAAAGUGCGCUGUGGGUGGGCAGCGCGAUGGCAGCCCAAGGGUGGCACCAGGAGAUGCAGCGCAGCCCUCUGCAGCAGCAGGGUGCAUUGAUUGGUCUUGCUCAUUCGUGAAGGAGAAGGUGUGUUUAGCUGCCAACUUUGGUGGCUCCAUAGCAUGUGCUGAAGGCUUUGGGGCCCUUCCUGUGUUCCUCACGACCUAAGGCAGUGAAGGACUUCCCUUGCUCUGUAGGAAUGGUUCCUGUGCAAGGGCAUGGUCGUCUGCCUGUAGCAGAUACUGAAGGUUGUGGUUUUGUGACUGCAGUGAUGGAGUUGGCUUUAGAAUGGCAAUUGCACUCUGCUCACGUGCAGCUCUUUCUGACACAGGCAGGAGUCGGGCAGCGGUACUGCAGCUCCUCUGGCAGCUUUGCAGCUCA